UGAAGAAGGUGCAACUAUAAUCGAUUUAUUUUAUAGUCUGUCUUUUCAUUUUAGAUAGUUCCAUAAUGCAGGAAGCAAUUUCCCUUAAGUAAUCUGGAAGGCAAACCAAACAAGGCGCUAAUUUGCAGAUACUGCCCAUUGUUUUUGUAUGUAAUUCUCAAUGGCAAUAGCUGCCGCAGGCGUUGACGGCGGAGGUGUCACCAUCAAAACCAUCAGAAACAACACCACCAAGUCAAUGAUGCAGGUGGACGUUUUGCCAUGUAAUAGUCGACCGCUGACGCCCUUCUACAUCAAUUGUGUAAGUACGUAUCGAAACAUUCAUAUCGUAGUCAACUAGCUUAAUCUUCAUCUUUUAGGUGUAAAGAGUACUACCAGUCUGCAGUUCUGCAAGAGACGCAAACAAAACAAGAAUACAACCUUGACUGUAAGUGAGUUCAAAUUUUAAAUCUACAACGAAUCCAUUCAUUUUGCUCCUGAGGAUCGCACUAGCUUAACGGUGGCAAUUAUUCGAAAGCAAAUGAGCUGGCCCGACAAGAAUCCCCAAGAAGCCAAACAGAUUCAGAUCAGUCUCUCGGCAGCUACGGACGAUGUAGGCGAGUUGAAUCCAUCGAAUUUCACACAGAAAAUCAACAUCAAAAAAAUCACGACAAUUCAGCGUGAACAACCUCUAUCCGCAGAGAAAGUGUUUGUGUGUCAAGAGAUCUCUCCGAAACUGCCAACCAAGGAAGAGGAACGGUGAAUGAUCGACUUCGAAUAAAAGUUCAACGAAAGGAACCAAAAUUCACCACUUAGAGAAAGUCCAAUAAAGUAACAAUCAAAUUGAACUUCACACCUGAAGAAGGACUGAAACCAGGCGAUGAUGUUACCCUUCGUUUCUUGAUGAAAUAUACUUUUGUGAAUACAUACACACGCCCGAUAAGAAAGAACGUCAAAAACACGCAUUAUCAUCGAAAGUUUUUGUAAAAGUUGGUCAAAUUGAAGCCUAGAUUUAUUUCUAUGUAUGUUAGAGCGUAAGCAUCUUGGAAAGCGAACUCCUUUUGCGCUGCAAAGGAAUGAUUGUUGAAGUGUGAGUUCAAUCCGAUUCCUUUUUGAGUUGCAAGGGAGUGUCUAUUGCCUAAGUAUUGGUAUCGUCGACAACAAACAGAUCUGCGAGAGCUUUCUAGGCUCAGUCGAAUGAAUCGAGAGCUAGAUGCCAGACGUGAGCGUGCGCCGCAGACUUGUUGCCCUUUCUUUCUUCGUUUCUUUCAUCAGAAGUGGGAUAGAUCCCCUCCUCGCGUAUUAUUUGCUUAAUUAAAAAAAAAAUUGUUAUAGUUAAAAAAAAAAAAUAAUAAUAAUAAAUAAAAACCAAAAAAAAAAUAGCCAAACGACUAAAUGGGACUGUGUGGUUGUGUCCCACCCUGUUGACUAUUAAUCUUGGUUGUGUUGCGUUGCUCGUAUUCGGGUGUUUUUACCCCUAUAGAUAGU